rnacentral:rRNA from 1 species
GGUUAAGCGAACAAGCGUACACGGUGGAUGCCCUGGCAGUCAGAGGCGAUGAAGGACGUGCUAAUCUGCGAAAAGCGCCGGUAAGGUGAUAUGAACCGUUAUAACCGGCGAUGUCCGAAUGGGGAAACCCGGUGCACUUCGGUGCAUCAUCGUUAGCUGAAUACAUAGGCUAACGAGGCGAACCGGGGGAACUGAAACAUCUAAGUACCCCGAGGAAAAGAAAUCAACCGAGAUUCCCCCAGUAGCGGCGAGCGAACGGGGAACAGCCCAGAGCCUGAAUCAGCUUGUGUGUCAGUGGAACGGUCUGGAAAGGCCGGCGAUACAGGGUGACAGCCCCGUACACGAAGGCACACAGGCUGUGAGCUCGAUGAGUAGGGCGGGACACGUGAUAUCCUGUCUGAAGAUGGGGGGACCAUCCUCCAAGGCUAAAUACUCCUGACUGACCGAUAGUGAACCAGUACCGUGAGGGAAAGGCGAAAAGAACCCCGGCGAGGGGAGUGAAACAGAACCUGAAACCGUGUACGUACAAGCAGUGGGAGCCUUCGUAAGAGGGUGACUGCGUACCUUUUGUAUAAUGGGUCAGCGACUUAUAUUCUGUAGCAAGGUUAACCGUAUAGGGGAGCCGAAGGGAAACCGAGUCUUAACCGGGCGUUAAGUUGCAGGGUAUAGACCCGAAACCCGGUGAUCUAGCCAUGGGCAGGUUGAAGGUUGGGUAACACUAACUGGAGGACCGAACCGACUAAUGUUGAAAAAUUAGCGGAUGACCUGUGGCUGGGGGUGAAAGGCCAAUCAAACCGGGAGAUAGCUGGUUCUCCCCGAAAGCUAUUUAGGUAGCGCCUCGUGAACUCAUCUCCGGGGGUAGAGCACUGUUUCGGCUAGGGGGCCAUCCCGGCUUACCAACCCGAUGCAAACUGCGAAUACCGGAGAAUGUUAUCACGGGAGACACACGGCGGGUGCUAACGUCCGUCGUGAAGAGGGAAACAACCCAGACCGCCAGCUAAGGUCCCAAAGUCAUGGUUAAGUGGGAAACGAUGUGGGAAGGCCCAGACAGCCAGGAUGUUGGCUUAGAAGCAGCCAUCAUUUAAAGAAAGCGUAAUAGCUCACUGGUCGAGUCGGCCUGCGCGGAAGAUGUAACGGGGCUAAACCAUGCACCGAAGCUGCGGCAGCGACGCUUAUGCGUUGUUGGGUAGGGGAGCGUUCUGUAAGCCUGCGAAGGUGUGCUGUGAGGCAUGCUGGAGGUAUCAGAAGUGCGAAUGCUGACAUAAGUAACGAUAAAGCGGGUGAAAAGCCCGCUCGCCGGAAGACCAAGGGUUCCUGUCCAACGUUAAUCGGGGCAGGGUGAGUCGACCCCUAAGGCGAGGCCGAAAGGCGUAGUCGAUGGGAAACAGGUUAAUAUUCCUGUACUUGGUGUUACUGCGAAGGGGGGACGGAGAAGGCUAUGUCAGCCGGGCGACGGUUGUCCCGGUUUAAGCGUGUAGGCUGACUUUCCAGGCAAAUCCGGAGAGUUAAGGCUGAGGCGUGAUGACGAGGCACCACGGUGCUGAAGUGACAAAUGCCCUGCUUCCAGGAAAAGCCUCUAAGCAUCAGGUAACAUCAAAUCGUACCCCAAACCGACACAGGUGGUCAGGUAGAGAAUACCAAGGCGCUUGAGAGAACUCGGGUGAAGGAACUAGGCAAAAUGGUGCCGUAACUUCGGGAGAAGGCACGCUGACAUGUAGGUGAAGCCCCUGCGGGUGGAGCUGAAGUCAGUCGAAGAUACCAGCUGGCUGCAACUGUUUAUUAAAAACACAGCACUGUGCAAACACGAAAGUGGACGUAUACGGUGUGACGCCUGCCCGGUGCCGGAAGGUUAAUUGAUGGGGUUAUCGCAAGAGAAGCUCCUGAUCGAAGCCCCGGUAAACGGCGGCCGUAACUAUAACGGUCCUAAGGUAGCGAAAUUCCUUGUCGGGUAAGUUCCGACCUGCACGAAUGGCGUAAUGAUGGCCAGGCUGUCUCCACCCGAGACUCAGUGAAAUUGAACUCGCUGUGAAGAUGCAGUGUACCCGCGGCAAGACGGAAAGACCCCGUGAACCUUUACUACAGCUUGACACUGAACAUUGAGCCUUGAUGUGUAGGAUAGGUGGGAGGCUUUGAAGCGUGGACGCCAGUCUGCGUGGAGCCAACCUUGAAAUACCACCCUUUAAUGUUUGAUGUUCUAACCUGGCGCCGUAAUCCGGCGUGGGGACAGUGUCUGGUGGGUAGUUUGACUGGGGCGGUCUCCUCCCAAAGUGUAACGGAGGAGCACGAAGGUCAGCUAAUCCUGGUCGGACAUCAGGAGGUUAGUGCAAUGGCAUAAGCUGGCUUGACUGCGAGAGUGACGGCUCGAGCAGGUGCGAAAGCAGGUCAUAGUGAUCCGGUGGUUCUGUAUGGAAGGGCCAUCGCUCAACGGAUAAAAGGUACUCCGGGGAUAACAGGCUGAUACCGCCCAAGAGUUCAUAUCGACGGCGGUGUUUGGCACCUCGAUGUCGGCUCAUCACAUCCUGGGGCUGAAGUAGGUCCCAAGGGUAUGGCUGUUCGCCAUUUAAAGUGGUACGCGAGCUGGGUUUAGAACGUCGUGAGACAGUUCGGUCCCUAUCUGCCGUGGGCGCUGGAGAAUUGAGGGGGGCUGCUCCCAGUACGAGAGGACCGGAGUGGACGCAUCACUGGUGUUCGGGUUGUCAUGCCAAUGGCACUGCCCGGUAGCUAAAUGCGGAAGAGAUAAGUGCUGAAAGCAUCUAAGCACGAAACUUGCCCCGAGAUGAGUUCUCCCUGAGACUGUAAGUCUCCUGAAGGAACGUUGAAGACGACGACGUUGAUAGGCCGGGUGUGUAAGCGCAGCGAUGCGUUGAGCUAACCGGUACUAAUGAACCGUGAGGCUUAACCUU